GGUCUAAUGGUCUAAUGGUUAUGACUGCGGAUUCUGAUUCCGCCAGCCCAGGUUCGAUUCCUGGUUGGACCU
rfam:Verticillium longisporum isolate VL1 genome assembly, contig: scaffold_87